AGUGAACGCUGGCGGUAGGCCUAACACAUGCAAGUCGAACGGCAGCACAGUAAGAGCUUGCUCUUACGGGUGGCGAGUGGCGGACGGGUGAGGAAUACAUCGGAAUCUACUUUUUCGUGGGGGAUAACGUAGGGAAACUUACGCUAAUACCGCAUACGACCUACGGGUUAAAGCAGGGGAUCUUCGGACCUUGCGCGAUUGAAUGAGCCGAUGUCGGAUUAGCUAGUUGGCGGGGUAAAGGCCCACCAAGGCGACGAUCCGUAGCUGGUCUGAGAGGAUGAUCAGCCACACUGGAACUGAGACACGGUCCAGACUCCUACGGGAGGCAGCGGUGGGGAAUAUUGGACAAUGGGCGCAAGCCUGAUCCAGCCAUACCGCGUGGGUGAAGAAGGCCUUCGGGUUGUAAAGCCCUUUUGUUGGGAAAGAAAAGCAGCAGGUUAAUACCCCGCUGUUCUGACGGUACCCAAAGAAUAAGCACCGGCUAACUUCGUG
rnacentral:rRNA from 1 species